CUUCAUUCUGGUUGCAUUCCGUGGCCUCACACAGCAUGUGUUAAUCUAUGUCACUGGGUAGAGGUCAUACUCUGUCCUGAGGACUAAGUGUACUGCAAACCACUAGUUCCAAUCCUGGUUACAUAUCAGAGUUACCUCGACUCCUGGUGCCCAUCCUCCAAGACUCAGACUCAUGGUUCUGGCAUGAGUGUGUUGCUGUACAUGUAAAUACUUCUCUGCAUACCUCCCUCUAUUCACCCAUAAUGCAGACAGUCUAAUGUAUAUAUUUUGUAUAUAUUCUUGCAAAAUGUGAAUAUCGAUGUAUGCAUAUGCAUCUUAGUUCAUGUAAG
rnacentral:lncRNA from 1 species